GUCCUGGCAGUAAACGGUGCACGUUUGGUAUGGGCGCAAUCGACCGCGCCCGUGCCGGAGCUAACGCGUUAAACGUGCCGCCUGGGAAGUACGGUCGCAAGAUUAAAAACUCAAAGAAAUUGACGGGGACCCGCACAAGCGGUGGAGUAUGUGGCUUAAUUCGAUGCAACGCGAAGAACCUUACCUGGUCUUGACAUGCAUUGUGUCUCUGGUGAAAGCCAGAUAGUGUAGCAAUACACGCUUUGCACAGGUGCUGCAUGGCUGUCGU
rnacentral:rRNA from 1 species